rnacentral:misc_RNA from 1 species
AACGCACAUUGCGCCCGCCAGCACUCUGGCGGGCAUGCCUGUUCGAGCGUCAUUUCAACCACCAAGCCCUGCUUGUGUUGGGGCCCUGCGGCUGCCCGCAGGCCCUGAAAACCAGUGGCGGGCUCGCUAGUCACACCGAGCGCAGUAAGCACAUUCUCGCUCAGGGCGUGCGGCGGGUUCUUGCCGUGAAACCCCCCCCUUAACUCAAAGGUUGACCUCGGAUCAGGUAGGAAUACCCGCUGAACUUAA